rnacentral:lncRNA from 1 species
GCAUUCCCUCUCUCACUCACUGUAAUUGCGAUGCAAUGAUGUCAGCGUGACAGGUGAGACCGAACGCGAGACAGCGUUGAAUAAGCUGCCGCCACAAGUAUCAAGAGCACCAAAGACGUAUCGGAGACACUCUAUGGGGUGUCAAUUUAAUCAUGCUCGAACCGGGUAUCGCCUUCCUCCCCCAUGAUUCCACCAUUGACAAAGAAUCCUGCGUACUGCGUUGCACGGGGCGGCGCUGCGGCCUCCUGCUCUAUACGGAAUCUGUGACUGACACGAUCCCUGACACGCAGACAUACGCGCACACACACACACAUCACAGCGGGGGCAACUGAAGGGUUGGUGAUGUGCAUAGUGUGGCCAAGCUCCACGCAGCCAGGGCAAGGUAAUGAUUCAUGUCGAAUUAAUAUCAGAGAGAAUCCAGACUAAACAAAAUAAUAGAAAAACUUCAAAGGAUUCAAUGCGAAGUAUAAAGUAACCUGUGUGACUCACUUGGAUGUGCCUUGUGCUCUGCCAUGCGUUCUACCUGUGAAAUCAAACUGAGUCAUAGCUAUGACUCCCCCCCACACACACACACACACACACACACACACACACACACACACACACACACACACACACACACACACACACACACACACACACACACACACACACACACACACACACACACACACACACACACACACACACACACACACACACACUUCCACCCAUCACUGGCCCCCCAGCCCUCAUACACAGUCUGCAGGCAAACAAGAAAUAAUUCAUACGGCUUCCCACACAGGAGUGGGUGUCCUGUAUCGGCCUGUCCGCUCCGCUGCCUGUCUGUUAUCACCUGCAAUUGAGGUCAGAGGUCAGGGGUCAGGCAGGCGUCCAGCGAUGACGUGGCCUCGGCAGCUGAUGACGUCACCGGUCUCUCGCGGCCUCAGUCCCUCGACGAUCGAGGAGUCGGACCCGAUGUCCAGAGAGAUGUCGUGUGGUCUCUACCCGCCGAAGCAGAAGAAGCUCUCGGGUGUCAGCUGGGCAGCUUCUGGCACAAAGUCUCACAAAUCCUCAAGGUUUCCCACGUCGAUCACGACGAGCUGAAGCCUUCAGCGCAAGCUAGGUUAGCUGUGGCUAACAGUCCGUUCACUUUGCUAAUGAAUGCUCAAAAUAAACACCGUAAGCUAAUGAGCUAAUUACACACGCGAAGCUAAUACAACGAGUGAACGACGGUAUGAUGAACUUCGGGUAGAAAUACCUCCUGUUGCCCACAAAUAAUAUGUAGAGGCAAUAUUCUGAUUGAGACUGUCGAUACUGUUAAGACGUCAACUACAUAUUUGUUUGCGCAAACUUUAUCACUGUGACUUAGUCAAACAAGUGCCCCCUACUCACUCCACUCUACUUCCUCUGCCAUGUAUCUUUCACAAUAAAACUCCACUCUAAUGUCAUUCCUGGUCCC